rnacentral:rRNA from 1 species
AGAGUUUGAUCCUGGCUCAGAUUGAACGCUGGCGGCAUGCUUUACACAUGCAAGUCGAACGGCAGCGGGGGCUUCGGCCUGCCGGCGAGUGGCGAACGGGUGAGUAAUGCAUCGGAACGUGCCCAGUCAUGGGGGAUAACUACGCGAAAGCGUAGCUAAUACCGCAUACGCCCUGAGGGGGAAAGCGGGGGAUCGCAAGACCUCGCGUGAUUGGAGCGGCCGAUGUCGGAUUAGCUAGUUGGUGGGGUAAAGGCCUACCAAGGCGACGAUCCGUAGCGGGUCUGAGAGGAUGAUCCGCCACACUGGGACUGAGACACGGCCCAGACUCCUACGGGAGGCAGCAGUGGGGAAUUUUGGACAAUGGGGGCAACCCUGAUCCAGCCAUGCCGCGUGCAGGAUGAAGGCCUUCGGGUUGUAAACUGCUUUUGUACGGAG